GUCCCGGGUGCCAAGCACUCUUGCCUAACUAUAGGAAGGCUCCAUCAUAGCUACAAAAGAUGGGCAGACAUAAUCUCAAUCACCAAAAGGCAAUAUUUAAGAGAGGACAGUGACCGACUUUUCCAUCACAGUUGGAGUAAAAGAAGAGUUGCAUGCUUAUUAACAGCCCAGUUUGACCUGCAGUUGGAACCUCGGACGUGGCAGGUCUGCAGACAGAUGGCUGAACACUCGGACUCUUUGAGAGGGAGUGUUCAUGUGUAAAAACCGAGCCUUCCCCAGAAAAGGAGAUCCUUCAGAGAGGUUUCCUGCCUGGAGAUGAGAACCUAACUGAGGUCUUGCUUGGCUCUGGUCACCUCCAUCUCGGUAAAGGAUAUCUUUUUCUGGGCCACCUCAACCUGAACCCUUUUGCUGGAACCUGAGACCACGUCAUCUUGACCUCUCUAAGGGCCAAAGCUGUGCCCACAACAAUUGCCUAUUAGGAACAUUGGAGCUUCUCUCAUCCAGGAACACCUGUCUGUGCCCCUUCCAUAGGGGUGGGCAUCAUCUACGAGACCAGGGCACCUCCAACCUCUGGAGAGACUCCAGCAACCACAUGGUCUUUUUCUCUCUGAACC